UACGGCUAUAACACGUUGAAAGACUGGUUUCUGUAUGAUCACCGAAGUUAAGCAACGUCAAGCCUGGUCAGUAUCUCGAUAAGUGACCGCUUGGGAAUACCAGGUACUGUAAG